rnacentral:rRNA from 1 species
UGAACGCUGGCGGCGUGCCUAAUACAUGCAAGUCGAGCGAACAGACGAGGAGCUUGCUCCUCUGACAUUAGCGGCGGACGGGUGAGUAACACGUGGAUAACCUACCUAUAAGACUGGGAUAACUUCGGGAAACCGGAGCUAAUACCGGAUAAUAUAUUGAACCGCAUGGUUCAAUAGUGAAAGACGGUUUUGCUGUCACUUAUAGAUGGAUCCGCGCCGCAUUAGCUAGUUGGUAAGGUAACGGCUUACCAAGGCAACGAUGCGUAGCCGACCUGAGAGGGUGAUCGGCCACACUGGAACUGAGACACGGUCCAGACUCCUACGGGAGGCAGCAGUAGGGAAUCUUCCGCAAUGGGCGAAAGCCUGACGGAGCAACGCCGCGUGAGUGAUGAAGGUCUUCGGAUCGUAAAACUCUGUUAUUAGGGAAGAACAAAUGUGUAAGUAACUAUGCACGUCUUGACGGUACCUAAUCAGAAAGCCACGGCUAACUACGUG